UACACACCGCCCGUCAAACCAUGAGAGCUGUUUGUACCCAAAGCUGUCUUAGCUAACCUGAAAAGGAGGCGGGCAAUUAAGGUAUGGAUGGUGAUUGGGGUU
rnacentral:rRNA from 1 species